rnacentral:rRNA from 1 species
CAGUCGCCGCGGGAAAACGUAGGUGGCAAGCGUUGUCCGGAAUUAUUGGGCGUAAAGGCUCGCAGGCGGUUUCUUAAGUCUGAUGUGAAAGCCCCCGGCUCAACCGGGGAGGGUCAUUGGAAACUGGGAAACUUGAGUGCAGAAGAGGAGAGUGGAAUUCCACGUGUAGCGGUGAAAUGCGUAGAGAUGUGGAAGAACACCAGUGGCGAAGGCGACUCUCUGGUCUGUAACUGACGCUGAGGAGCGAAAGCGUGGGGAGCGAACAGGAUUAGAUACCCCAGUAGUCCCUGUCUCUUAUACA